rnacentral:lncRNA from 1 species
CAAACAGAAGCCAUUAACAUAUUGCAGCUGUCAUGACUAAGAAAGAUACUGGAGCUGGGAGAUGUGCGCAUCCCUGCAUACCUUGGCUCAGUUAGCAAAGCUCUCCCAAUUGGAGUCACUUGGGAGAGGAAAAGAAGCGUGGGAUGUAGCCAGUCAGGAGUGAAAGAAUACAUUUUACUGCAGGUUUACUUUCAUGUAUUAUGCAUAGCCUUCAAGGUCACUGCAUGAUCAUUUAUAAGAUUUUAAUGAGAUAUCAAAGUGGAAAGAAUGGAAUAUAAUUAAUGGAACCUUCUGCACUCAAGUGAUCCUCCCAUUUCCAUCCCCCAAGCAGCUGGGACUACAGGUGUA